rnacentral:snoRNA from 13 species
GUGCACGGUGAACACCCAAGGGUGCUAACAUGGCUCCCCCUGGUCUCUUCUACCUGUGCUAUAGUAAACCUGAUUUGUACCUCUGCAUUUGGGGAGCUGUCUCCUCUCUUAAAUGUAUUCAGCAGAUCAGAAUAACU